CCUACGGGUGGCAGCAGUGGGGAAUAUUGCGCAAUGGGCGAAAGCCUGACGCAGCGACGCCGCGUGAGGGAUGAAGGUCUUCGGAUCGUCAACCUCUGUCAGAAGGGAAGAACGGUCACUGUGCUAAUCAGCAGUGAAUUGACGGUACCUGCAAAGGAAGCACCGGCUACCUCCGUGCCAGCAGCCGCGGUAAUACGGCGGGUGCGAGCGUUAAUCGGAAUUAUUGGGCGUAAAGCGCUCGUAGGCGGUAUGUCAAGUCAAGGGUGAAAUCCCCGCGCACAAAGUGGGAAAUGCCUUUGAAACUGGCAAACUGGAGUGUGUGAGAGGAUAGUGGAAUUCCAGGUGUAGGAGUGAAAUCCGUAGAUAUCUGGAGGAACAUCAGUGGCGAAGGCGACUAUCUGGCACAUAACUGACGCUGAGGAGCGAAAGCGUGGGUAGCAAACAGGAUUAGAUACCCGAGUAGUC
rnacentral:rRNA from 1 species